rnacentral:rRNA from 1 species
UGGCUCGAGUGGCGAACGGGUGAGUAACACGUGAGUAACCUGCCCUUGACUUUGGGAUAACUUCAGGAAACUGGGGCUAAUACCGGAUAGGAGCUCCUGCUGCAUGGUGGGGGUUGGAAAGUUUCGGCGGUUGGGGAUGGACUCGCGGCUUAUCAGCUUGUUGGUGGGGUAGUGGCUUACCAAGGCUUUGACGGGUAGCCGGCCUGAGAGGGUGACCGGCCACAUUGGGGCUGAGAUACGGCCCAG